rnacentral:SRP_RNA from 1 species
GCCGGGUGUGGUGGCUCACGCCUGUAAUCCCAGCACUAUGGGAGGCUGAGGCAGGCGGAUCACCUGAGGUCAGGAGCUUGAGACCAGCCUGACCAACAUGGAGAAACCCUGUCUCUA